UGUUGGUUCUCCCGCAACAUGAACUUGUUAACUCGGUCAGGUCCGGAAGGAAGCAGCUAUAGCAGGGGAAUUGUGUGCCGGGAUGUCGCUGGCAAGG
rnacentral:SRP_RNA from 1 species